AAUCUUACAAUUCUCAAUUCGAUUUGAUUUCCCAUCCCAGCAAUUCGAAUCUAGGGAGCGAAUCGCAAAUGCAAUUGAAUCACGACCAAAUCUUAUGAUUCGAUAGUGAAUUGAGUGAAUCUACACGAAUCAACCAAUUUGGUUGAUUCUUUUUCUAAAAGGUUGUUAGACCCUAAGCUUUAAAAUUUAAGAUCUCACUUUAUUUUCACUAUGAAAAGUGCAAAUAAAAUCUUCUCCUAACUAUUUUUCUUCUACGGGCCAUUAUUUCCCUCUCCCUUUCUUUCUUUUUCUUUUUUUAUUCUUAUAUCUUAACAUCCUUGACUAUGAUUUGAUAUGAUUUGUAGCCAUUUCCUUUUUGUUCUGUUUUAAUAUGACGGAUUCCAACUUAUAGACUAGCUUCCUUUUUUUUUCCCCCUAUCUUUUAAGUUAUUACUGGAUACUGGAUGGCUACCUGUGUG
rnacentral:misc_RNA from 1 species